GUGUCAGCCGCCGCGGUAAAACGUAGGACACAAGCGUUAUCCGGAGUUACUGGGCGUAAAGGGCGUUUAGGCGGGUGAUUAAGUUCGCUAUGAAAGCGCCAGGCUAAACCUGGCGAGGCUGGCGGAUACUGGUCAUCUGGAGUGAGUCAGAGGAAGGUAGAAUUCCGCGUGUAGUGGUGAAAUGCGUAGAGAUGCGGAGGAAUACCAGUGGCGAAGGCGGCCUUCUGGGACUCAACUGACGCUGAAGCGCGAAAGCAUGGGGAGCGAACGGGAUUAGAAACCCUCGUAGUCC
rnacentral:rRNA from 1 species